UACGUAGGGUGCGAGCGUUAAUCGGAAUUACUGGGCGUAAAGGGCUCGUAGGUGGCCAACUAAGUCAGACGUGAAAUCCCCAGGCUCAACUUGGGAACUGCGUCUGAUACUGGAUGGCUUGAAUUCGGGAGAGGGAUGCAGAAUUCCUGGUGUAGCGGUGGAAUGCGCAGAUAUCAGGAGGAACACCGAUGGCGAAGGCAGCUCGCUGGGACGGUACUGACGCUGAGGCGCGAAAGCGUGGGGAGCGAACAGG
rnacentral:rRNA from 1 species